UUUCCGUAGGUGAACCUGCGGAAGGAUCAUUCAUAAUAGGUGUUUUAUGGCACUUUUUAAAUCCAUAUCCACCUUGUGUGCAAUGUCAGGGUUGAUUUUUCUCUCGAGAGGAUCAGCCCCAAACAUCAACUAUAUCUCAACUCUUUGUCUGAAAAAUAUUAUGAAUAAAACAAUUCAAAAUACAACUUUCAACAACGGAUCUCUUGGCUCUC
rnacentral:misc_RNA from 1 species